AAAAAAAAUCACUACGAGUGCUUACCUGCAGUCGAACGAUGAAGCCCUUUUGGGUGUAUUAGUGGCGAACGGGUGAGUAACACGUGGGUAAUCUGCCCUUUACUCUGGGACAAGCCCUGCAAACGGGGUCUAAUACCGGAUACUACUGCGGGAGGCAUCUCCUGUGGUGGAAAGCUCCGGUGGUGAAGGAUGAGCCCGCGGUCUAUCAGCUUGUUGGUGGGGUAAUGGCCUACCAAGGCGACGACGGGUAGCCGGCCUGAGAGGGCGACCGGCCACACUGGGACUGAAACACGGCCCAGACUCCUACGGGAGGCAGCAGUGGGGAAUAUUGCACAAUGGGCGAAAGCCUGAUGCACCGACGCCGCGUGAGGGAUGACGGCCUUCGGGUUGUAAACCUCUUUCAUGAGGGAAGAAACGAAAGUGACGGUACCUGCCCAAGAAGCUCCGGCUACCUACGUGCCAGCAGCCGCGUAAAUACGUACGGCGCAAGCGUUGUCCGGAAUUAUUGGGCGUAAAGAGCUCGUAUGCGGCUUGUCACGUCGGGUGUGAAAGCCCGGGGCUUAACCCCGGGUCUGCAUCCGAUACGGUCAGGAUAUAGUGUGGUAGGGGAGAUCGUAAUUCCUGGUGUAGCGAUGAAAUGUUCCGAUAUCAGGAGGAACACCGGUGGAGAAGGCGGAUCUCUGGGCCAUUACUGACGCUGACGAGCGAAAGCGUGGAGAGUCAACAGGAUUAGAUACCCUAGUAGUCCACGCCGUAUACGUUGGGAACUAGCGUGCCUGGCGACAUGUCCACGUACGUCGGUGCCGCAGCCUAACGCAUUAAGUUCCCCGCCUGGGGAGUACGCCCGCAAGGUUAAAACUCAAAGGAAUUGACGGGGGCCCGCACAAGCAGCGGAGCAUGUGGCUUAAUUCGACGCAACGCGAAGAACCUUACCAAGGCUUGACAUAUACCGGAAAGCAUCAGAGAUGGUGCCCCCCUUGUGGUCGGUAUACAGGUGGUGCAUGGCUGUCGUCAGCUCGUGUCGUGAGAUGUUGGGUUAAGUCCCGCAACGAGCGCAACCCUUGUCCUGUGUUCCCAGCAUGCCCUUAGGGGUGAUGGGGACUCACAGGAGACCGCCGGGGUCAACUCGGAGGAAGGUGGGGGGGACGUCAAGUCAUCAUGCCCCUUAUGUAUUGGGCUGCACACGUGCUACAAUGACCGGCACAAAGAGCUGCGAUGCCGCGAGGCGGAGCGAAUCUCAAAAAGCCGGUCUCAGUUAGGAUUGGGGUCAGCAACUAGACCCCAUGAAGUCGGAGUUGAUAGUAAUUGCAGAUCAACAUUCAUGCGGUGAAUACGUUCCCGGCCCUUGUACACCCCGCCCGUCACGUCACGAAAGUCGGUAACACCCGAAGCCGGUGGCCCAACCCCUAAGGAGGGAGCUUCGAAGGUGACGAUUAAUAAAAUAUU
rnacentral:rRNA from 1 species